AGAGUUUGAUCCUGGCUCAGGACGAACGCUGGCGGCGUGCUUAACACAUGCAAGUCGAACGAAGCUUGAUUACGGAUUCUUCGGAUGAAGUAUGAUAUGACUGAGUGGCGGACGGGUGAGUAACGCGUGAGUAACCUGCCCUUCAGAGGGGGAUAGCGUUUGGAAACGAACGGUAAUACCGCAUAAUGUAUUUUGACCGCAUGAUCGAAAUACCAAAGAUUUAUCGCUGAAGGAUGGACUCGCGUCUGAUUAGGUAGUUGGUGGGGUAACGGCCUACCAAGCCGACGAUCAGUAGCCGGACUGAGAGGUUGAUCGGCCACAUUGGGACUGAGACACGGCCCAGACUCCUACGGGAGGCAGCAGUGGGGAAUAUUGCACAAUGGGCGCAAGCCUGAUGCAGCAACGCCGCGUGAAGGAAGACGGUUUUCGGAUUGUAAACUUCUGUUCUUAGUGAAGAAUAAUGGCGGUAGCUAAGGAGCAAGCCACGGCUAACUACGUGCCAGCAGCCGCGGUAAUACGUAGGUGGCAAGCGUUGUCCGGAAUUACUGGGUGUAAAGGGAGCGCAGGCGGGUGAUCAAGUCAGCUGUGAAAACUACGGGCUUAACCCGUAGACUGCAGUUGAAACUGUUCAUCUUGAGUGAAGUAGAGGUUGGCGGAAUUCCGAGUGUAGCGGUGAAAUGCGUAGAUAUUCGGAGGAACACCGGUGGCGAAGGCGGCCAACUGGGCUUUAACCGACGCUGAGGCUCGAAAGUGUGGGGAGCAAACAGGAUUAGAUACCCUGGUAGUCCACACUGUAAACGAUGAUUGCUAGGUGUGGGGGGUCUGACCCCUUCCGUGCCGGAGCUAACGCAAUAAGCAAUCCACCUGGGGAGUACGACCGCAAGGUUGAAACUCAAAGGAAUUGACGGAAGGG
rnacentral:rRNA from 1 species